rnacentral:rRNA from 1 species
UACGGAGGGUGCGAGCGUUGUCCGGAAUCACUGGGCGUAAAGGGCGCGUAGGCGGCGCGACAAGUCAAUGGUGAAAGCCCGAGGCUCAACUUCGGGUCGGCCACUGAUACUGUUGGGCUUGAGCACUGUAGAGGCAGGUGGAAUUCCGGGUGUAGCGGUGGAAUGCGUAGAUAUCGUGAGGAACACCAGAGGCGAAGGCGGCUACCUGGACAAUUGCUGACGCUCAGGCACGAAAGCGUGGGGAGCAAAAGGG